AAAUUGAAGAGUUUGAUCAUGGCUCAGAUUGAACGCUGGCGGCAGGCCUAACACAUGCAAGUCGAACGGUAACAGGAAGAAGCUUGCUUCUUUGCUGACGAGUGGCGGACGGGUGAGUAAUGUCUGGGAAACUGCCUGAUGGAGGGGGAUAACUACUGGAAACGGUAGCUAAUACCGCAUAACGUCGCAAGACCAAAGAGGGGGACCUUCGGGCCUCUUGCCAUCGGAUGUGCCCAGAUGGGAUUAGCUUGUUGGUGGGGUAACGGCUCACCAAGGCGACGAUCCCUAGCUGGUCUGAGAGGAUGACCAGCCACACUGGAACUGAGACACGGUCCAGACUCCUACGGGAGGCAGCAGUGGGGAAUAUUGCACAAUGGGCGCAAGCCUGAUGCAGCCAUGCCGCGUGUAUGAAGAAGGCCUUCGGGUUGUAAAGUACUUUCAGCGGGGAGGAAGGGAGUAAAGUUAAUACCUUUACUCAUUGACGUUACCCGCAGAAGAAGCACCGGCUAACUCCGUGCCAGCAGCCGCGGUAAUACGGAGGGUGCAAGCGUUAAUCGGAAUUACUGGGCGUAAAGCGCACGCAGGCGGUUUGUUAAGUCAGAUGUGAAAUCCCCGGGCUCAACCUGGGAACUGCAUCUGAUACUGGCAAGCUUGAGUCUCGUAGAGGGGGGUAGAAUUCCAGGUGUAGCAGUGAAAUGCGUAGAGAUCUGGAGGAAUACCGGUGGCGAAGGCGGCCCCCUGGACGAAGACUGACGCUCAGGUGCGAAAGCGUGGGGAGCAAACAGGAUUAGAUACCCUGGUAGUCCACGCCGUAAACGAUGUCGACUUGGAGGUUGUGCCCUUGAGGCGUGGCUUCCGGAGCUAACGCGUUAAGUCGACCGCCUGGGGAGUACGGCCGCAAGGUUAAAACUCAAAUGAAUUGACGGGGGCCCGCACAAGCGGUGGAGCAUGUGGUUUAAUUCGAUGCAACGCGAAGAACCUUACCUGGUCUUGACAUCCACAGAACCUUGUAGAGAUACGAGGGUGCCUUCGGGAACUGUGAGACAGGUGCUGCAUGGCUGUCGUCAGCUCGUGUUGUGAAAUGUUGGGUUAAGUCCCGCAACGAGCGCAACCCUUAUCCUUUGUUGCCAGCGGUCCGGCCGGGAACUCAAAGGAGACUGCCAGUGAUAAACUGGAGGAAGGUGGGGAUGACGUCAAGUCAUCAUGGCCCUUACGACCAGGGCUACACACGUGCUACAAUGGCGCAUACAAAGAGAAGCGACCUCGCGAGAGCAAGCGGACCUCAUAAAGUGCGUCGUAGUCCGGAUUGGAGUCUGCAACUCGACUCCAUGAAGUCGGAAUCGCUAGUAAUCGUGGAUCAGAAUGCCACGGUGAAUACGUUCCCGGGCCUUGUACACACCGCCCGUCACACCAUGGGAGUGGGUUGCAAAAGAAGUAGGUAGCUUAACCUUCGGGAGGGCGCUUACCACUUUGUGAUUCAUGACUGGGGUGAAGUCGUAACAAGGUAACCGUAGGGGAACCUGCGGUUGGAUCACCUCCUUACCUUAAAGAAGC
rnacentral:rRNA from 1 species